UACGGGGGGGCAAGCGUUGUUCGGAAUUACUGGGCGUAAAGGGCUCGUAGGUGGCCAACUAAGUCAGACGUGAAAUCCCUCGGCUUAACCGGGGAACUGCGUCUGAUACUGGAUGGCUUGAGAUUGGGAGAGGGAUGCGGAAUUCCAGGUGUAGCGGUGAAAUGCGUAGAUAUCUGGAGGAACACCGGUGGCGAAGGCGGCAUCCUGGACCAACACUGACGCUGAGGAGCGAAAAGCCAGGGGGAGCAAACGGG
rnacentral:rRNA from 1 species